CCGGCUGAUGACACUAAGGCGAAUGCGACUCCAUGCUGUCUGGUCCUUGGCUCCCUGGGGGUGGUUUGGAAUGGGAUCUGAAAUCUUAGUGGGGUGCCCGAGGCCUGGCUCCCCACUGUAAGGCAGAUCCAUAGCACUGCCGGCCUUGCCUCCAUUUCUGCUGCUGCCUCCAGUUUCUGGCAGCUGCCUGCAGGGGGGCCCACAGGUGGGGACCGGGUGGGACCAGGCACGAGGUAUCUGAGCGCAACCUUGGAUCUGACA